GAUUGCAGUAGGGAAUCUUCCGCAAUGGACGAAAGUCUGACGGAGCAACGCCGCGUGAACGAUGAAGGCCUUCGGGUCGUAAAGUUCUGUUGUUAGGGAAGAACAAGUACCAGAGUAACUGCUGGUACCUUGACGGUACCUAACCAGAAAGCCACGGCUAACUACGUGCCAGCAGCCGCGGUAAUACGUAGGUGGCAAGCGUUGUCCGGAAUUAUUGGGCGUAAAGCGCGCGCAGGUGGUUUCUUAAGUCUGAUGUGAAAGCCCACGGCUCAACCGUGGAGGGUCAUUGGAAACUGGGGAACUUGAGUGCAGAAGAGGAAAGUGGAAUUCCAAGUGUAGCGGUGAAAUGCGUAGAGAUUUGGAGGAACACCAGUGGCGAAGGCGACUUUCUGGUCUGUAACUGACACUGAGGCGCGAAAGCGUGGGGAGCGAACAGGAUUAGAUACCCUGGUAGUCCACGCCGUAAACGAUGAGUGCUAAGUGUUAGAGGGUUUCCGCCCUUUAGUGCUGCAGCAAACGCAUUAAGCACUCCGCCUGGGGAGUACGGUCGCAAGACUGAAACUCAAAGGAAUUGACGGAAU
rnacentral:rRNA from 1 species